GACGAACGCUGGCGGCGUGCCUAAUACAUGCAAGUCGAACGAGAGCAACCGGUGCUUGCACUGGUCAAUCGAGUGGCGAACGGGUGAGUAACACGUGUGUAACCUGCCCAUCAGAGGGGGAUAACAACCGGAAACGGAUGCUAAAACCGCAUAGGUCUUCGAACCGCGUUGGUUGAAGAGGAAAAGAGGCGCAAGCGUCUGCUGAUGGAUGGACUCGCGGUGCAUUAGCUGGUUGGUGAGGUAACGGCUUACCAAGGCGGUGAUUCAUAGCCGGCGUGUGGGGCUGAUCGGCCACCUUGGGACUGAGCCAGCGCCCUAGCGCCUACGGGAGGCAGCAGACGGGAACCUUCCGCAAUGGAGGGAAGUCUGACGGAGCAACGCCGAGUCAGUGAAGAAGGUUUUCGGAUCGUAAAACUCUGUUGUGAGAGAAGAACCAGUGCUGGAGUAACUGUUAGCGCCUUGACGGUAUCUAAUCAGAAAGCCACGGCUAACUACGUG
rnacentral:rRNA from 1 species